GCCUACCGCAGCUGCUCCCUCCGGCAGCUUCAUUUUCCGCUCGUUCAAGCCAGCUAAUUCAGGCUCCAAAGAACCAUUCCUAUGCUCAAGGUCAUUGCCACAGGAAGUCUAUGACUGCAUCCUCUCACAUCUGCAAUGUUCUCACCUAGCUCCCCAUUGCCAGGGGUGUAUAACAUGCUAUAUGCGAGAUUUAUAUUCCCUAGCAUUAACGAGCAGAGCUUGGGAAAAAGCCGUGAGGGGUAAACUAUAUAACAAAAUCUAUAUCCAAGGUAACGACUCGCCCGCUCAACUCAAGAAAUACAAGUGGAAAAGAGGAAGUAGAUUAAGAUUGCUGCGACGAUCUUUGAGAGAAAGAAAGUUGUUGGCCAAUGCAGUGUUUGAGCUUAGGGUGCCUGAUCUGGAGACGGCAAUGGGGGGAAAUGGAAAACAAAGCAUUACCGCACAGGAAUAUCGGGACCUUGUGGCAUCAGUCGUGAUGGUGUGCCCGAACUUGGAACGCCUAGUCGGACUUUCGUUGCCCUAUAACCACGAGUUUGACCGCUUGACACACGCUCUUUCAACGCGAAAGAAACUCAAGGAGCACGCGUGGAUCUUUGCGGGCAACCCCGGAACCGGCGAACGGUCAAAGAAUCAAUCUGCCCAAAUUUUAGAUAAUGAACAAGUUUUCCAGUUCCUCAACUACCACGCUUCAUGGUCUAACCUCGACACCCUCAUGGUACAUUCUUUGGAUUCUAGUGGAGUAGUGGGACAUGGCAUAUUCCUACGGAUACUCAACUUCCUACCAUCCUUACGUCAUUUGACAGUUUGCGGUUUCCAAGCUGAUGAUUUUACACACCGUACAUUAUUAUUUUUGCCUCAGUUGAUCUCGCUCCGUCUCGAGAAUCUCCCAGGAUUGACGCAGCACGGACUGGCCCAUUAUUCAACUCGUCCAGAGGCUCGCGCCC
rnacentral:sRNA from 1 species